AAAGGCACCCCCCCGAGGACAUUGGUUCCAGUCUGGCCCAGGUGUAGACCAUCCAAUUUAAAAUAGUCCCACCUCCCCAGGAACCGGGCCUAAUGUCCCAAACAUCUGGACCCCUCCCCCCUGCAGCAUCUCUGAAGCUCCCCGUUCAUCCAGAACAUUCUGUCAUUCUGACUCUGACUCGCACGUGCCAGCGGGAGUAAUCCUGAGAUUACCACCUCUGUUAUUUCCAUUCAGAACCAGCCAUUAUUGCUGCCUAUGUUUCCAUGAGAUAUAUGAGUGAAAGGGAGGCCAUUCGGCCCAUCCAGUCCCCUCUGCCAUUUGAUGGGUGUUUCAAUGCCACUUACCCGCACUUUCCCAGUAGCCCUUAAUUCCUUGCGAGAUGAAGAGUUUAUCAAUCUCUGCCUUGGAGACACUCAACAUCCCGGCCUCCACUGUGCUCCGUGGCAAUGAAUUCCACCAAUGAAUUUCAAGUCACUUUGGAGUGAGACCCCCCCACCCCAUUUUAUCACCGCCACACUGGGCCAGUGCUGGGAGUCAUGCCCCAGUAUACCCAGAGGCAUCACACAAGGCCAUGGCUUUUGUAAAAUACACAGAACUCCCCAAUUUCUUGGCUUUGCAGAUCCAGGUUUCUGUACUGUUCCAGAAUGUUCGGCACAACAUCGUGGGCCGAAGGGCCUGUUCUGUGCUGUAUUGUUCUAUGUUCUAAUGUCUGUUUGUGACAAUUAAAUAAACUGUUUCUAUUUGGAAGCAGUUACGAGUUAUCAGCACGUAACGGCCCGAGUUAAAAGGCAGACACUGGUAAUGCAGGCCAGUGGGCCCUGCUCAGACCCUGCUUCCUGACUGGCCUUCGCUGAAUGCUGUUACUGGGAGGGACGGGGUGUCUGGUUCCCACUGAGAAAAAACAUUUCUGCUUUAUUAACAAAAACUCACUGCUCACAACAACAACUGCUGAAGGAAAACUAAACUCAAUUUCUUCAGGCUUCCUAGUGAGAACAGGAAUAAGGCCUAAAGUUGCAGCAAACCUGUCACUUCUCAGUACCCUGUUGACAGGGCCAGACUGUUCAGCAACCUGAGAACUAAAUACCUGCCCGCUGGCACACAGAUCAGAGAACACUGGGUCCCAGAGCAACCAGCAAGGUGCUGCUGACUGAAUCUCUGUUUGUACAGCCCUUUAGCUCCAGCUCCUCGGCCCCUUCUCCUACUUGAACCAGCAGCUGUGGUGUUAACUGUGCUCACAGUGAGGGGCAGGUUACUCAGUUUGAAAACUGGAAUAACACUUCAGCUAUUCCUCAUUGCAGACCACAGAGCUGAAGGCAGCCCUAAGCCGACAGAGGAAGGAGUUGGAGGACAUAAUUCGAGCCAAAGACAGAGAACUGCAGGAGAGGAAGGCUGUCACCCUGAACUGUUCUCACAGUUUUUGCUGUCACUGUAUCCUGGAGUGGAGGAAGAGGAAGGAGUGGUGUCCAAUCUGUAGACAGACGAUCCAGACCCAGAGCCGCUCAGUGGUUCUCGAUAACUGCAUUGAACGGAUGCUGGAGAAUCUGAGCGAGGCAAUGAGACAGCGCAGGCUCCAACUCCUGAAACAGCGGAAAGCAUUGAAAAUGAAGCCUGUCUCUGUGCCUGACAGUGAAAGCAGUAGUUGCGAUGAUCUGACUUCUAUCCAGUCGGUCAGUACCUUGGACAGUUCGGAGCUGGAGGAGCACAGUGAUGAGGGUGACACAGAGGAC